rnacentral:rRNA from 1 species
UACGUAGGGUCCGAGCGUUAAUCGGAAUUACUGGGCGUAAAGGGCGCGUAGGCGGCCUUCUAAGUCAGACGUGAAAUCCCCAGGCUUAACUUGGGAACUGCGUCUGAUACUGGAUGGCUUGAGUUUGGGAGAGGGAUGCGGAAUUCCAGGUGUAGCGGUGAAAUGCGUAGAUAUCAGGAAGAACACCCGUGGCUAAGGCGGUUCUCUAGUACGGUACUGACGCUGAGGAGCGAAAGCGUGGGGAGCGAACAGG